GAUGAACGCUAGCUACAGGCUUAACACAUGCAAGUCGCGGGGCAGCAUGGGGGUUGCUUGCAAUCCCCGAUGGCGACCGGCGCACGGGUGAGUAACGCGUAUCCAACCUGCCCUUCACCACGGGAUAACCCGGCGAAAGUCGGACUAAUACCGUAUGUUGUCCAUUGACGGCAUCCGAUUUGGACGAAAGGCUUGGCGGUGAGGGAUGGGGAUGCGUCCGAUUAGCCAGACGGCGGGGUAACGGCCCACCGUGGCUACGAUCGGUAGGGGUUCUGAGAGGAAGGUCCCCCACACUGGAACUGAGACACGGUCCAGACUCCUACGGGAGGCAGCAGUGAGGAAUAUUGGUCAAUGGGCGUAAUCCUGAACCAGCCAAGUAGCGUGCAGGAUGACGGCCCUAUGGGUUGUAAACUGCUUUUAUGCGGGGAUAAAGUGGCCCACGUGUGGGCUUUUGCAGGUACCGCAUGAAUAAGGACCGGCUAAUUCCGUG
rnacentral:rRNA from 1 species